rnacentral:rRNA from 1 species
AUACGGAGGGUGCGAGCGUUAUUCGGAAUUACUGGGCGUAAAGCGCGUGCAGGCGGGAAGACAAGUCUGAUGUGAAAGCCCCGGGCUUAACCUGGGAAGUGCAUUGGAAACUGUUUUUCUUGAGUACUGGAGAGGAAGGGGGAAUUCCCGGUGUAGAGGUGAAAUUCGUAGAGAUCGGGAGGAAUAUCAGUGGCGAAGGCGCCCUUCUGGACGGAUACUGACGCUGAGACGCGAAAGCGUGGGGAGC